UCCUCAGGAACGAUGCUUUCAGGCCAACCUUCGCAUAAAAGAUAGCCUCCCAUGCUUUUGUUUUAAAUAAUUCGUCAUUCGUUCCAGUAUCCGGUUCCCAUUUUCCUACAACGAAAAAGAGAAAACGUUAAGAGUCACCGGUACAUUCACCGCCCCGAUCACCGGUUCUACGUGGAAAUUAGUGAUUUGUUAAAUUGCAGCCGGGGCCGGCGGUAACUCAUGUGAAGAUUUCCAAUAUCAGAAUGCCACGUACGAGUAAAUAUGGAUGGGUGAUCUGUAUCCGUCCUCAAAAUCCCACUGCUACGAGAACGAGAGAGAUUCGGAAUUAGAUUUAUUGUACCGGUUUCGAUCGAGUCCGCUAUAUAAAUUAUUGACCUCUUUUCUUUCCGCCAGGUCGGCCUUCGGAGCCAGAGAGCUCGGCGACUCCGUGGGUUUCGUCGCGAAUCGCCGGAGAUCUAUUUCUUGCGAGGCGGUUAGUAGCUGUGGCGAGGGGCUCGAUCGGGCCUGGAUCCGCCACCCAAUGGAUCGAUGGCUGUUUGGAUCAGAAUUUGAUCGGAUGGGCAUGACUGCCCGAUCGAGUUGCCUAAAUUUGGCAUCGGUUACUGAUCCGGCGAGGUGGAAGGAUCUGAGAGUAGAGAUGGAGGGGACCGUGUUCACCCCCGCAUUGGAAGUAAUGAAUAAUGUCAAGUCAAAGGACGGGGUAAUGCUUACCAAACCUUUUCUGGAUGUCUGCAAGCUCAUCCUGCCUAUGUUAGAUAAAUUUGGAGGUCCUAUGUCACUUGUAAAGUCAGAUAUAGGAGGCAACAUAGCGAGUCUGGAAGCUAAAUAUGCGUCUGAUCCUUCAAAAUUUGAACACCUGUACAGCAUGGUGCAAGUAGAAGUAGAAUCUAAAACUUCUUCAAGCUGUACCAAUGGUCUUCUGUGGUUAACGAGGGCCAUGGACUUCUUGGUGGAACUAUUCUGUAACUUGCUUGAGCAUCCAGCUUGGACUAUGUCACAGGCCUGCACAGAAUCCUACAGCAAGACCUUAAAGAAAUGGCAUGGCUGGCUUGCUAGAUUUAGCUUUUCGAUUGGCAUGAAACUCGCUCCAGAUAGGAAGAAAUUCAUGGAGGUUAUUGGUGGCUCAGGUGACAUAAAUGCAGACAUGGAGAAAUUCUGCGCAAACUUUUCUUAUCUUCUUGCAGAGAACCACAGGUUUUUGGCUAGUGUUGGUCUGGAUGAUCUUAAGGCUUCUUGAUGUAGAAAUCCUCCUGUCAUGAUCUUAUCUUUUGUGAUCCCUUCCUUGCUGCCAAUUAUAUUUCACUUUUGUUUAAAGGAAAAAAUUGGACAGUAAAUAAGGCAUCCAUAUAGCUGGUUGCUGAGAUUAAUGCAGUGUGAGGUUGGAUACUUGUUUUUGGAACUGAAUCAUAGGGGAUGAUAGGGGACUGCCACAUUCAGGGGGUAUUAGUCUGAUGUGAUGUCUGAAUUCUAAGAAAAAUCUGUAGGAGGCCAUGCCUCUCAUUCUAAACUAACCCAUUUCAAGCAUUUUUGGUGGUCAGGUCGUUCUUUUUCCAUUUCCUUUGUAGAAUCCAUCAGAAAAUCAGUGUAAUACUGUGAUAAAAUCUUUAUAGCGUGUCUAUUUUUAUAUUGA